rnacentral:rRNA from 1 species
UACAGAGGUCUCAAGCGUUGUUCGGAUUCAUUGGGCGUAAAGGGUGCGUAGGUGGCGCCGUAAGUCAGGUGUGAAAUUUCGGAGCUUAACUCCGAAACUGCAUUUGAUACUGCGGUGCUUGAGGACUGGAGAGGAGACUGGAAUUCACGGUGUAGCAGUGAAAUGCGUAGAUAUCGUGAGGAAGACCAGUGGCGAAGGCGGGUCUCUGGACAGUUCCUGGCACUGAGGCACGAAGGCCAGGGGAGCAAACGGG